AUUGAACGCUGGCGGCAGGCUUAACACAUGCAAGUCGAACGAGUGGCGGACGGGUGAGUAAUGUUUGGGAAUCUUUAUUCUGGAGGGGGAGAAAUACGGGAAACUGUAGCUAAUACCGCGUACCAUAGGAUGAGCCCAAGUGGGAUUAGGGAGUUGGUGAGGUAUAGGCUCACCAAGACGACGAUCUCAAGCUGGUCUGAGAGGAUGACCAGCCACACUGGGACUGAGACACGGCCCAGACUCCUACGGGAGGCAGCAGUGGGGAAUAUUGCGCAAUGGGGGCAACCUGACGCAGCCAUGCCGCGUGAAUGAAGAAGGCCUUCGGGUUGUAAAGUUCUUUCGGUAGCGAGGCGUUAACUACAGAAGAAGCACCGGCUAACUCCGUGCCAGCAGCCGCGGUAAUUC
rnacentral:rRNA from 1 species